rnacentral:rRNA from 1 species
CCUCGAUGAGUCGCUAGUGGUAGGGGCCUUCCACGCCGCACAUUAGUGCUCGCUAGCUAACGCAUUAAGCAGCCUCCCGCCUGGGGAGUACGGCCGCAAGACUGAAAACUCAAAGGAAUUGACGGGGGCCCGCACAAGCGGCGGAGCAUGUGGUUUAAUUCGAUGCAACGCGAAGAACCUUACCUGGGUUUGACAUCUUCCGAAAACCUGCAAAAAUGGGGUCCCCCUUGUGGGCGGUAUUGAGGUGGGGCGUGGGUGUGUUCACCUCUUGUGUCGAGAUAUGUGGGUAUGUCCCCCAACAAGCGCACCCCCUUUGUUCUGUUGUCCCCACGUUAUGGUGGGGACUCUUAAGAGACUGCCGGGGACAACUCGGAGGAAGGUGGGGACGACGUCAAAUCAUCAUGCCCCUUAUGUCCUGGGCUUCACACAUGCUACAAUGGACAGAACAAAGGGCUGCGAGACCGUGAGGUGUAGCCAAUCCCUUAAAUCUGGUCUCAGUUCGGAUCGGGGUCUGCAACUCGACCGCGUGAAGCUGGAAUCGCUAGUAAUCGCAGAUCAGCAUGCCUGCGUUAAAUACUUUCCCGGGCCUUGACCCCCCCGCCCGCACACUCAUGAAGUUCGGUAACACCCAAAUCCGUGAGCUUACCUUUAUGGAGGAGGGAGCCGUCGGUGGUGGGAUCGAUUGAUUGUGACGAAUCAA